GAUGAACGCUGGCGGCGUGCCUAAUACAUGCAAGUCGAGCGAACAGACGAGGAGCUUGCUCCUCUGACGUUAGCGGCGGACGGGUGAGUAACACGUGGAUAACCUACCUAUAAGACUGGGAUAACUUCGGGAAACCGGAGCUAAUACCGGAUAAUAUAUUGAACCGCAUGGUUCAAUAGUGAAAGACGGUUUUGCUGUCACUUAUAGAUGGAUCCGCGCCGCAUUAGCUAGUUGGUAAGGUAACGGCUUACCAAGGCAACGAUGCGUAGCCGACCUGAGAGGGGGAUCGGCGACACUGGAACGGAGACACGGACAAGAGUCCUACGGGAGGCAGCAGAAGGGAAUGGGACGCAAUGGGCGAAAGCAUGACGGAGCAAGGCGGCGUGAGUGAUGAAGGUCUUCGGAUCGUAAAACUCUGUUAUUAGGGAAGAACAAAUGUGUAAGUAACUAUGCACGUCUUGACGGUAACUAAUCAGAAAGCCACGGCUAACUACGUG
rnacentral:rRNA from 1 species